rnacentral:rRNA from 1 species
GACAGAGGGUGCAAACGUUGUUCGGAAUUACUGGGCGUAAAGCGUGUGUAGGUGGUCGCGUAAGUCGGAUGUGAAAGCCCUGGGCUCAACUCAGGAAGUGCACUCGAUACUGCGUGACUAGAGUACCGGAGAGGUUGGUGGAAUUCUCGGUGUAGAGGUGAAAUUCGUAGAUAUCGAGAGGAACACCUGUGGCGAAGGCGGCCAACUGGACGAGUACUGACACUGAGACACGAAAGCGUGGGGAGCAAACAGG